rnacentral:rRNA from 1 species
UUUGGGUUAAGUCCCGCAACGAGCGCAACCCUUGUCACUAGUUGCCAUCAUUUGGUUGGGCACUCUAGUGAGACUGCCGGUGACAAACCGGAGGAAGGUGGGGAUGACGUCAAGUCCUCAUGGCCUUUAUGACCAGGGCUACACACGUACUACAAUGGCAUGUACGAAGGGCAGCAACAUCGCGAGGUGAAGCGAAUCCCAAAAGCAUGUCUCAGUCCGGAUUGGAGUGUGCAACUCGACUCCAUGAAGUUGGAAUCGCUAGUAAUCGCGGAUCAGCACGCCGCGGUGAAUACGUUCCCGGGCCUUGUACACACCGCCCGUCACACCACGGGAGUUGGUUGUACCAGAAGCAGUUGCGCCAACCGCAAGGAGGCAGGCUGCCAAGGUAUGGCGAGUAACUGGGGUGAAGUCGUAACAAGGUAACCGUAA